AACGAACGCUGGCGGCAUGCCUAACACAUGCAAGUCGAACGAGACCUUCGGGUCUCGUGGCGCACGGGUUCGUAAAGCGUUGGAACCUGCCCUUAGGUUCGGAAUAACUCCCCGAAAGGGGUGCUAAAACCGGACAAUGUCUUCGGACCAAAGAUUUAUCGCCGUUGGAUGGGCCCGCGUUUGAUUAGCUAGUUGGUAGGGUAAAAGCCUACCAAGGCGACGAUCCAUAGCUGGUCUGAGAGGAUGAUCAGCCACACUGGGACUGAGACACGGCCCAGACUCGUACGGGAGGCAGCAGUGGGGAAUAUCGGACCGUGGGCGAACGCCUGAGCCAGCAAUGCCGCGUGAGUGAUGAAGGCCUUAGGGUUGUAAAGCUCGUUUACCCGGGAUGAUAAUGACAGUACCGGGAGAAUAAGCUCCGGCUAACUCCGUG
rnacentral:rRNA from 1 species